rnacentral:rRNA from 1 species
UACGAAGGGGGCUAGCGUUGCUCGGAAUCACUGGGCGUAAAGGAUGCGUAGGCGGGUUUUUAAGUCAGAGGUGAAAGCCUGGAGCUCAACUCCAGAACUGCCCUUGAUACUGGCAAUCUCGAGUCCGGAAGAGGUAAGUGGAACUCCGAGUGUAGAGGUGAAAUUCGUAGAUAUUCGCAAGAACACCAGUGGCGAAGGCGGCUCACUGGCCCGGUACUGACGCUGAGGUGCGAAAGCGUGGGGAGCAAACAGG